AAGGUUUAAAAAGGCGUGUAGCCUCAGUGUCAGCAGGAAAAGGGGGUUAGCCUCUAAAGGUUUAAAAAGGCGUGUAGCCUCAGUGUCAGCAGGAAAAGGGGGUUAGCCUCUAAAGGUUUAAAAAGGCGUGUAGCCUCAGUGUCAGCAGGAAAAGGGGGUUAGCCUCUAAAGGCAAACUGUUUAUAAAGGUUUAAAAAGGCGUGUAGCCUCAGUGUCAGCAGGAA